GAUGAACGCUGGCGGCGUGCUUAACACAUGCAAGUCGAACGGAAAGGCCCAAGCUUGCUUGGGUACUCGAGUGGCGAACGGGUGAGUAACACGUGGGUGAUCUGCCCUGCACUUCGGGAUAAGCCUGAGAAACUGGGUCUAAUACCGGAUAGGACCACAUGUGGGAUGGGGUGGUGGAAAGCUUUUCGGUGUGGGAUGAGCUGGCGGCCUAUGAGCUUGUUGGUGGGGAAAUGGCCUACCAUGGCGUCGACGGGUAGCCGGCGUGAGAGGGUGUAAGGCCACAUGGGGACUGAGAAACGGCCCAGACUCCUACGGGAGGCAGCAGUGGGGAAUAUUGCACAAUGGGCGGAAGCCUGAUGCAGCGAGGCGGCGUGGGGGAUGACGGCCUUCGGGUUGUAAACUCCUUUAGCUAGGGACGAAGCGCAAGUGACGGUACCUGGAGAAGAAGCACCGGCUAACUACGUGCCAGCCGCCGCGGUAAUAC
rnacentral:rRNA from 1 species